AGCAGCCGCGGUAACUCCAGCUCCAAUAGCGUAUAUUAAAGUUGUUGCAGUUAAAAAGCUCGUAGUUGAAUUUCGGGAUCAAUAUAUCGGUCGUGCCUCGGUACGUACUGGUAUCAUUGGUUUCUCCUUUCUGACGAACCAUGAUGUCAUUAAUUUGGUGUUAUGGGAAGUUAAGACUGUUACUUUGAAAAAUUAGAGUGUUUAAAGCAGGCUUUGGCUUGAAUACAUUAGCAUGGAAUAAUGAAAUAGGACGUUCGAACCUAUUUUGUUGGUUUCUAGGAUCAACGUAAUGAUUAAUAGGGAUAGUUGGGGCGAUUAGUAUUCAAUUGUCAGAGGUGAAAUUCUUGGAUUUAUUGAAGACUAACUACUGCGAAAGCAUUUGCCAAGGAUGUUUUCAUUAAUCAAGAACGAAAGUUAGGGGAUCGAAGACGAUCAGAUACCGUCGUAGUCUUAACCAUAAACUAUGCCGACUAGGGAUCGGAUGAUGUUAAAUUUUUUAAUGGCUCAUUCGGCGCCUUAC
rnacentral:misc_RNA from 2 species